rnacentral:misc_RNA from 1 species
GUCUUAAUGGAGCUUCUAGGGAGCCCGACGAUCAUUUGGAUCUCUUCUCCAAAAGUCGCCGGAGUGUUUCUGUUGCCUCCUCCGACGAGACUGAUGUUACGGUUAAGCUGGGAAGGCUUUCAAUUGGAUCAGUAAAACAAUUAAAGAGUGGAUUAGAGGAUCUGUUGGCAUCUACGGAAGGAGAGAAACAUGAUUAUGAUUGGCUCCUCACUCCUCCAGGAACACCUCUUGUUCCUACAUCAGAUGGAAGUGAAUCAAAACCAGCUUCAGUGGGUCCAAGGGGCAGCUCAUUGGGAAGAUCUUCUUCCACUACUAAGGCUUCAAGGCUUUCAGUGUCUCAUUCAGAGAGCAACACUCCUGCAAGACCAACUCGGAGUAAUUCAGUAACUCGACCUUCCAUCUCUAGCUCUCAGUAUAGUACUUACUCAAAUAAAUCAGGCUCUAUUCUAAACACAAGCUCUGCAUCGGUCUCCUCCUAUAUUAGACCAUCUACACCAACCAGGCGUUCAUCUUCUUCAGCCAGGCCUUCCACGCCGACCUCACGUGCAACAGUGUCCAGACCUUCGACUCCUUCUAAAGCCGGACAAGCACCAAGUACUUCUAGGCCAACCCAGAGCUCAAGACCUUCUACUCCAACAUCUCGGCCCCAAAUAUCGGGAAACUUGAAUACCCCUUCAAGGCCUACUUCAAGGCCUUCAACACCUACUCGUCGGACUAUAACGGCUUCAUUAUCUCCAGCAUCUAGAUCUUCAACUCCAGCAGGGCGCCCUGUCACCAAUGGACGAACUGCAGCUUCUCUUUCUCGUCCAAGCUCCCCUAGUCCCCAAGUUCGGCGACCAUCGCAGCCAAUAGUUCCCCCAGAUUUUUCACUUGAAACACCACCAAACCUACGUACAACACUGCCAGAUAGACCUCUGUCUGCUGGUAGGUCCAGGCCAAAUCCUUCUGUCACUACCAAGGGUAAUGCAGAAACCCCAAGCGUUGCAAAUCCUCGAAGACAGUCAUCCCCCAUUGUUAGCAGGGGAAGACUAACAGAGCCCGCUGGUAGAGGACGAGCGCUUGGAAGUGGGCAGCUAAGUGAUAUAUCUGAUUCCCGCAGGGCUUCACAUGUCUCAGAUUUGUCUACAAGGAAGCCUGUAAAGACUGCUGCGGACAACAUGGGACUUGGAAGGACAAUUUCUAAGAAAUCCCUUGACGUGGCAAUCAGGCAUAUGGAUAUUAGAAAUGGUAAUGGUGUUCGUCCAACUUCUGGUUCAACUCUCUUUCCUCACAGUAUUCGAUCCACGAAUGGGAAAGGCCAGCCUUCUCAUGGUUCGACUGGUGCAUCCUCUUUCAAUGAGAAUGCAUCUUACCACUACAAUGGUAAUCUUCCAGAAAAUGGUAAUUACCUUAACAGAUCAUCUGAGAACGGGAGUGAAGAGGCCAAGCCUCAGCAUUCAGCAAAAUUGACAGAUAUUGAUAUUUAUGAAAGUUCUCGUUACGAUAAGCUUCUGCUGAAAGAGGAUAUGAAAAACACGAAUUGGUUGCACAGUAUUGAUGACAAGUCGGACCAAGAAACCAUAUUUGGUAACGGGUUCGAGUUGCUGCCUGAACCUUUUAGCCCUUUGCAAUAUUUGUGAAGUGAUAUUCCUUUGUGUUAUUAAUAAUUUUUCGUUUUGAGUUUUAUUUGUUGGAUAAAUCAUUUGUUUGCAAAAGAAGAUAAGAAGAUAUGG